AGAGAGUGUGUCAAGACAAAUCUAUUGAUGGUUUCAAUUUCGUAUUUGAUGGCCACCACCGUCAGAGACGAUUUACGGCACAGUGGUCCACAGUGGUUUUUACCUGAGACUGGAGCUCACCUUCUUUUUUUAGCCUGGCGCUUUUUUUUGUUUUUUAAACUCAAUUUGAGUUAAUUACCACGUGCUUGAAUUGAGUCCAUGCUGAAACUACCUUGUCUUGCAUUGUUUUUGUUGGGCUCCAUGUACAUGGGUCCAACCUGUUUUGCUAGCCAUCAUCCUUAGUAGGCUCACACACCCCUUUGCCAUGACUGAAGAGCAUUAGGCCUUUUACCCAAGGCCCAUGCGCCUGGGUCUUUCUUACACCCUAAUUCCAGAAUCUAAACCCCCUGGCCCAUUAUUUU
rnacentral:lncRNA from 1 species